UACGGGGGGGGCAAGCGUUGUUCGGAAUUACUGGGCGUAAAGGGCGCGUAGGCGGCCUGCUAAGUCGAAUGUGAAAUCCCCGGGCUCAACCCGGGAACUGCGUCCGAUACUGGCAGGCUUGAAUCCGGGAGAGGGAUGCGGAAUUCCAGGUGUAGCGGUGAAAUGCGUAGAUAUCUGGAGGAAGACCAGUGGCGAAGGCGGGUCUCUGGACAGUUCCUGACGCUGAGGCACGAAGGCCAGGGGAGCAAACGGG
rnacentral:rRNA from 1 species